AGAGUUUGAUCAUGGCUCAGGACGAACGCUGGCGGCGUGCCUAACACAUGCAAGUCGAACGGGGUGAGGCCCUUCGGGACCUUUACCUAGUGGCGAACGGGUGAGUAACGCGUGAGGAACCUGCCUUUCAGUGGGGGACAACAGUUGGAAACGACUGCUAAUACCGCAUAAAGCUUUUGGGAGACAUCUCCUGAAAGCCAAAGCUUAAUGUGCUGAAAGAUGGCCUCGCGUCUGAUUAGCUGGUUGGUGGGGUAACGGCCCACCAAGGCGACGAUCAGUAGCCGGUCUGAGAGGAUGAACGGCCACAUUGGGACUGAGAUACGGCCCAGGCUCCUACGGGAGGCAGCAGUGGGGAAUAUUGGGCAAUGGGCGAAAGCCUGACCCAGCAACGCCGCGUGAAGGAAGAAGGCCUUCGGGUUGUAAACUUCCUUUACAGGGACGAAGGACGUGACGGUACCUGGAGAAAAAGCAACGGCUAACUACGUGCCAGCAGCCGCGGUAAUACGUAGGUUGCAAGCGUUGUCCGGAUUUACUGGGUGUAAAGGGCGUGUAGGCGGAGAUGCAAGUUAGGAGUGAAAUCUAUGGGCUCAACCCAUAAACUGCUUCUAAAACUGUAUCCCUUGAGUAUCGGAGAGGCAAGCGGAAUUCCUAGUGUAGCGGUGAAAUGCGUAGAUAUUAGGAGGAACACCAGUGGCGAAGGCGGCUUGCUGGACGACAACUGACGCUGAGGCGCGAAAGCGUGGGGAGCAAACAGGAUUAGAUACCCUGGUAGUCCACGCUGUAAACGAUGAAUACUAGGUGUGGGGGGACUGACCCCCUCCGUGCCGCAGUUAACACAAUAAGUAUUCCACCUGGGGAGUACGACCGCAAGGUUGAAACUCAAAGGAAUUGACGGGGGCCCGCACAAGCGGUGGAUUAUGUGGUUUAAUUCGACGCAACGCGAAGAACCUUACCAGGACUUGACAUCCAACUAACGAAGUAGAGAUACAUCAGGUGCCCUUCGGGGAAAGUUGAGACAGGUGGUGCAUGGUUGUCGUCAGCUCGUGUCGUGAGAUGUUGGGUUAAGUCCCGCAACGAGCGCAACCCCUAUUGUUAGUUGCUACGAAAGAGCACUCUAGCGAGACUGCCGGGGAUAACCCGGAGGAAGGCGGGGAUGACGUCAAAUCAUCAUGCCCCUUACGGCCUGGGCUACACACGUGCUACAAUGGCGUAAACAAAGGGAAGCAAGAGGGUGACCUGGAGCGAAUCCCAGAAAUAACGUCCCAGUUCGGACUGUAGUCUGCAACCCGACUACACGAAGCUGGAAUCGCUAGUAAUCGCGAAUCAGCAUGUCGCGGUGAAUACGUUCCCGGGUCUUGUACACACCGCCCGUCACACCAUGGGAGUUGGAAAUGCCCGAAGUCAGUGACCUGACCGCAAGGAGGGAGCUGCCGAAGGUGGAGCCGAUGACUGGGGUGAAGUCGUAACAAGGUA
rnacentral:rRNA from 1 species